UUGUUCACAAACAUUACCCAACUCUGCACAUUCCUGAGAAAUGUCAAGAUGACAAGCCUUUUAUACCAAAAUAUGAGGUAUCAAAGGAGAAAGCAAAAGCUUUGGGUAUUGACUUCAUUCCUUUGGAGGUGAGUUUGAAGGACACUAUUGAAAGCUUGAAGGAAAAUGGCUUCCUUAGCAUUUGAUUUUGGCUGUUGGAUGGAAAGCAAAUCAAAUAUUACAUAGGCCUUUCGGCUUCAUUGUCUUUAGCUCCCUACUGCAGCAAGAAAUUGUUGCUCUUCAAGAUUGUCUUCAUUUGAAAUAAGUGGACCAACACAUUUAUAAAUAAAUAGUAAUGUUUGUAUAUGUUGUGUAAAAUAAAUAAUAUUUCAUGUGUCACUUGUUUGACUGGUAGAUGAAGUUCAUUUUAAGUUAGUGAUUUUCUAUCAAGUUUGGUCAAAUUCAUCCCUAUCUGCACAGCAGAAAGAUUUGACAGAAUUACAAUUGCCUGUUCUGAUUUUACGAAGGCCAGCCAUUCAGAUUUUGGAUGUUUCAAGUACUGUUAGUUCCUGUAAUUUAUACAAAAACUGAUUUCCCUGGAAAAGGGAAAAUUUUUUUGUUAUUUGCGCUGAAUGAACAAAUGAAUACCAUAUUAAGCAAACUAUUUAAUAUCAGAGAAAUUAUAAACAAAAAUGCAGUAUUCACAACUCUGUGUACUGCAUGUUGGAUGAUCAAAACAGAAGUCUUGAGUGAGAAACUAAACCCUGAAACAUGUUUUUCAAAGAAGUGAGCAAAACUCUCAUCGUCCAGCUUCAUUUCUUUUUUGCAUAAGUCAGAUUUUAUUAGCGAAAUCCAGGAAAAACUUAACAAAGUAAGCCAAACUAAGACCUUGAUCAACAGAUCAACCCCAUGGAACCCAACCUAUGGCUUAUAUGUUAAGUGUAAAAAACCUGGGACAGUUACAAGACCAACAUGUUACAUUUGUGAAGUCCGAAACCACCAAAAAUGGAACACACAACUUGGGAAAAUAUAGCAGCAGAGAACCACUCUAAUACAACAUGUUUCAUUUCUGCUUCCAGCUCAACAAGAUUUAUUCUAUAACUGCCAGCUUUUCAGAGAUGUUUUCUGAAUUAUCAUCAAGCAGGAAUCUUAUCCCUGUGAGCUUUACUCCGGGAUGCUGAGGACACAACCUGCAUAGGCUAGUGCAUCUGUGUCAUCUUUGCCGCCAGUGAAGUUAUGAAGAUGACUGCUGCAUGGAGGGUUUUGACAUUGUUGAUAUUUUGGCAUCUGUUUCAAGCCAGAACUAUUAUUAAGUGACAAAUUUACAUUGCAAGCAAUAAUUAGGAGAAUUUCAUAUACAAGUGCUUACUAC
rnacentral:misc_RNA from 1 species